AGAAAAACACUUCCAUGAAAAGACUACUGUCACAGCACAUGUUCAACAGCAGCUCCCCUCCUGGACUGGUGCCACAGCCAUGAAGGAAAUCAGUGGUAAGGAAGAAUCACCAGAUCCCUAAAGGGAGAAAUUUGGGAGAGCAAGCCUCCUCAGCCAGGGCACAGGAAUAGCUCCACAGCAGCCAGCUGGAGCUGUGGAAACCCAGUCUGCAUACAGGACUGUUCAGCUGCAUUCAAAAGGUUUCGCACCUUGGUCUCUUCUUUCUGGAUUGAA
rnacentral:lncRNA from 1 species